UACGAAGGGGGCUAGCGUUGCUCGGAAUCACUGGGCGUAAGGGUGCGUAGGCGGGUCUUUAAGUCAGGGGGGAAAUCCUGGAGCUCAACUCCAGAACUGCCUUUGAUACUGAAGAUCUUGAGUUCGGGAGAGGUGAGUGGAACUGCGAGUGUAGAGGUGAAAUUCGUAGAUAUUCGCAAGAACACCAGUGGCGAAGGCGGCUCACUGGCCCGAUACUGACGCUGAGGCACGAAAGCGUGGGGAGCAAACAGG
rnacentral:rRNA from 1 species